rnacentral:misc_RNA from 1 species
GCAAACUUGGUCAUUUAGAGGAAGUAAAAGUCGUAACAAGGUUUCCGUAGGUAAGUGAAAGCUUUCCAUCUUACACCCCCUUAUAGUCCAUAGUUGUUCGUCCGAUGUACCGUUGUCUUGCCUCUUCUGCAGGGGGGUUACUACUUACCACUUACUAUCUUUCUAUGCUUGAAUAAUGUGCUGACUUUUCUUUUUUAGGUGAACCUGCGGAAGGAUCAUUACAGAGUGUUUACCCCCCCGUAAAAAGGGGGAUUAACCUCCCCGUCCUUUGCUGAGCCCCCCUUCUCUGGAGGGCUUUUCAAAAUCUUCUGCUUCGGCGGGGUUUACUCGCCGGAACACCCUCAAAAUUCUUGAUCAAAACCUUUUCUGUCCGAGAAUUGGAAAAAAAAAUUAUUGAAAACUUUCAACAACGGAUCUCUUGGUUCUGGCAUCGAUGAAGAACGCAGC